rnacentral:rRNA from 1 species
UAGGGAAUCUUCCACAAUGGACGCAAGUCUGAUGGAGCAACGCCGCGUGAGUGAAGAAGGUUUUCGGAUCGUAAAGCUCUGUUGUUGGUGAAGAAGGAUAGAGGCAGUAACUGGUCUUUAUUUGACGGUAAUCAACCAGAAAGUCACGGCUAACUACGUGCCAGCAGCCGCGGUAAUACGUAGGUGGCAAGCGUUGUCCGGAUUUAUUGGGCGUAAAGCGAGCGCAGGCGGAAUGAUAAGUCUGAUGUGAAAGCCCACGGCUCAACCGUGGAACUGCAUCGGAAACUGUCAUUCUUGAGUGCAGAAGAGGAGAGUGGAACUCCAUGUGUAGCGGUGGAAUGCGUAGAUAUAUGGAAGAACACCAGCGGCGAAGGCGGCUCUCUGGUCUGCAACUGACGCUGAGGCUCGAAAGCAUGGGUAGCGAACAGGAUUAGAUACCCUGGUAGUCCAUGCCGUAAACGAUGAGUGCUAAGUGUUGGGAGGUUUCCGCCUCUCAGUGCUGCAGCUAACGCAUUAAGCACUCCGCCUGGGGGAGUACGACCGCAAGGUUGAAAC